UGGACAGUUUUCCUAGCCCGGUUAAGGAGAUUUACUGUAAAUAAAUUGAUUUUAUAUCAUCGUGUGUUCGAAUCACACCUGUCCAA